AAAAAGAAAAUAUUUUUUCCGUAGACAGUGGGUGCGAAAGCGUAAAGAUAACUGCCCGCCUAGGUGUAUAUAAUAGAUUAUAUUAUAGACCUUCCAUGUCUGCGGAAGGUCUUUUUUAAUAAAAGA
rnacentral:sRNA from 1 species